ACCUACGGGAGGCAGCAGUAGGGAAUCUUCCACAAUGGACGAAAGUCUGAUGGAGCAACGCCGCGUGAGUGAAGAAGGGUUUCGGCUCGUAAAACUCUUUUGGUAGUGGAGAAAGAUAGAGGUAGUAACUGGCCUUUAUUUGACGGUAAUUAAUUUGAAAGUCACGGCUAACUACGUGCCAGCAGCCGCGGUAAUACGUAGGUGGCAAGCGUUGUCCGGAUUUAUUGGGCGUAAAGCGAGUGCAGGCGGUUCAAUAAGUCCUA
rnacentral:rRNA from 1 species